AGAGAAAGUCCAGUAGGAGACACGUUCAUAUAUGGAAAAUGAUGUUUCAAACCAGAGGCAAAAGGGAAUUCAUGUCAGUUCACCCAAGGCUUAUGUAUUUUUCGUUCUGACCCUAAGCUUGGAAAUGCAAAGAAUAAAAGAUAAAAAAGUAGCAAGAAAUGAAGACCAUAUAUGUAGUGCUUGCUAUGUGCCAGGUACUCGUAUAACGUACUGGAGUCCACACACUCACCCUGCCCUCAGCCCUAUGAAUCCUGUUUUGCGUAGUGCGUUCUUCUUCCCCUGGGCUGUCACGUCAUCACUGCAUUGGAGUUCCCAGC